rnacentral:rRNA from 1 species
GGACUACAGGGGUAUCUAAUCCUGUUUGCUCCCCUAGCUUUCGUCCCUCAGCGUCAGUUGCGAUCCAGCGGGCCGCUUUCGCCUCGGAUGUUCCUGCAGAUAUCUACGCAUUUCACCGCUACACCUGCAAUUCCACCCGCCUCUCUCGCACUCGAGCACGGCAGUUUCGGAAGCAGCCCCAGAGUUAAGCCCUGAGAUUUCACUUCCGACUUGCCGCACCGCCUACGGACCCUUUACGCCCAGUAAUUCCGAGCAACGCUGGCCCCCUACGUUUUACCGCGGCUGCUGGCAC